rfam:Macrophomina phaseolina MS6 contig00286, whole genome shotgun sequence.
GGCCGGUUGGCUCAAUGGUAGAGCAUUCGCCUCCUAGUGACAUCGCAAUACAGCUCUGUCGCCUAAGCGAAAGGUUGUGGGUUCGAGUCCCAUGCUGGUCG